AGCUCAGGAUGAACGCUGGCGGCGUGCCUAAUACAUGCAAGUCGAGCGAACAGAUAAGGAGCUUGCUCCUUUGACGUUAGCGGCGGACGGGUGAGUAACACGUGGGUAACCUACCUAUAAGACUGGAAUAACUCCGGGAAACGGGGCUAAUGCCGGAUAACAUGUUGAACCGCAUGGUUCUACAGUGAAAGGCGGCUUUGCUGUCACUUAUAGAUGGACCCGCGCCGUAUUAGCUAGUUGGUGAGGUAACGGCUCACCAAGGCAACGAUACGUAGCCGACCUGAGAGGGUGAUCGGCCACACUGGAACUGAGACACGGUCCAGACUCCUACGGGAGGCAGCAGUAGGGAAUCUUCCGCAAUGGGCGAAAGCCUGACGGAGCAACGCCGCGUGAGUGAUGAAGGUCUUCGGAUCGUAAAACUCUGUUAUUAGGGAAGAACAAAUGCGUAAGUAACUGUGCGCGUCUUGACGGUACCUAAUCAGAAAGCCACGGCUAACUACGUGCCAGCAGCCGCGGUAAUACGUAGGUGGCAGCGUUAUCCGGAAUUAUUGGGCGUAAAGCGCGCGUAGGCGGUUUUUUAAGUCUGAUGUGAAAGCCCACGGCUCAACCGUGGAGGGUCAUUGGAAACUGAAAAACUUGAGUGCAGAAGAGGAAAGUGGAAUUCCAUGUGUAGCGGUGAAAUGCGCAGAGAUAUGGAGGAACACCAGUGGCGAAGGCGACUUUCUGGUCUGUAACUGACGCUGAUGUGCGAAAGCGUGGGGAUCAAACAGGAUUAGAUACCCUGGUAGUCCACGCCGUAAACGAUGAGUGCUAAGUGUUAGGGGGUUUCCGCCCCUUAGUGCUGCAGCUAACGCA
rnacentral:rRNA from 1 species